rnacentral:ncRNA from 1 species
UCCCUAUUUAGAGCUAUGUGAAGCAACGAGACAAGGGAACGGGCUUGUUAUAGAUCAGCGGGGUAAGAAGACCCUUUUGAGCUUUACUCUAGUACAGGGGUGGUCAAACUUUUUGGAUCGCGGGCCAGUAAAUUAAUAAUAUUCUUGUCGCGGUCCGGAUGGUCGCUUUAAAAUAGUGCCGCGGGCCGGAUGGGCCAAGAGCACUCAGAUCAAAGCUACAAAGACUUUUUUUAUUUAUAAACUUUCUCGCACUAAACAACUGCCAACUUAGCAUUUUUAGCAUUAAUAGAACAUAUAUUUUAUGUUUUAUGAGUGGAUGAACUAAUUUAAGCUUUAAAAAUCAUAAAACAAUUCUAAUUUUUGCAAUGUUUUUUUUUUACAAAACCAGCGGCGGGCCGGAGUUAAAACCUCAUACGGGCCGGAUCCGGCCCGCGGGCCGUAGUUUGCCCAUCCCUGCUCUAGUAUAUUUCAAUUUGUAUAUAUUAUAUUGUAGAGAGGUGGGAGAUGUAAUGUGAAACCACUAAUAUUAAUAUUAUAUGAAUUAUUGUAAUUAUAUGGGGAGUUUGGCUGGGGCGUACAACUGUUAUAAAGAAACACAGUUGUCCUAAGAUACAAUUAAUUAGGAUAGAAACCUAAUGUUCAAUAUAAGGGUAUAAGUGUGUCUGAUGUAUAGAACAAUAGUUUUAUAUGAUGGGAAACCAUGGCGUAAAGAUCCUCCAAUAAUAGUUUUAUGUGAUUGGAGGUGACAGAAAAGUUACCACAGGGAUAACUGGCUUGUAGCAAAUGAGCGAUCAUAGCGACUUUGCUUUUGGAUUCUUCGAUGUCGUCUCUUCUGAUCAUCGUAGUGUAUAUGUUACGAAGUGUUGGAUUGUUCACCCGUUAAUGAGGUACGUGAGAUGGGUUUAGACCAGGGGUGGGCAAACUUUUCGGAUCGCGGGCCGGU